rnacentral:rRNA from 1 species
AGUGAACGCUGGCGGUAGGCCUAACACAUGCAAGUCGAACGGCAGCACAGUAAGAGCUUGCUCUUACGGGUGGCGAGUGGCGGACGGGUGAGGAAUACAUCGGAAUCUACUUUUUCGUGGGGGAUAACGUAGGGAAACUUACGCUAAUACCGCAUACGACCUACGGGUGAAAGCAGGGGAUCUUCGGACCUUGCGCGAUUGAAUGAGCCGAUGUCGGAUUAGCUAGUUGGCGGGGUAAAGGCCCACCAAGGCGACGAUCCGUAGCUGGUCUGAGAGGAUGAUCAGCCACACUGGAACUGAGACACGGUCCAGACUCCUACGGGAGGCAGCAGUGGGGAAUAUUGGACAAUGGGCGCAAGCCUGAUCCAGCCAUACCGCGUGGGUGAAGAAGGCCUUCGGGUUGUAAAGCCCUUUUGUUGGGAAAGAAAAGCGGCAGGUUAAUACCCCGCUGUUCUGACGGUACCCAAAGAAUAAGCACCGGCUAACUUCGUGC